UACGAAGGGGGCUAGCGUUGUUCGGAAUUACUGGGCGUAAAGGGCGCGUAGGCGGUACUUCAAGUCAGGCGUGAAAGCCCCGGGCUCAACCUGGGAACCGCGCUUGAGACUGGAGAACUAGAGUUCGGGAGAGGAUGGUGGAAUUCCCAGUGUAGAGGUGAAAUUCGUAGAUAUUGGGAAGAACACCGAUGGCGAAGGCAGCCAUCUGGACCGACACUGACGCUGAGGUGCGAAAGCGUGGGGAGCAAAC
rnacentral:rRNA from 1 species